rnacentral:pre_miRNA from 8 species
GUGGAUGUGCGUUGAUCUCCUGGUGCAGGUUUAAUGCUAAUCGUGAUAGGGGUUUAGUGCUGAUGAACACCUAUGCUGUUAGCAUUAAUCUUGCGCUAGUGAGCGAACCGUCUGAACAUC